GCCGGGUGUGGUGGCGGGUGCCUGUAAUCCCAGCUACUCCGGAGGCUGAUGCAGGAGAAUUGCUUGAACCCAGGAGGCAGAGAUUGCAGUGAGCCGAGAUUAUGCCACUGCACUCCAGCCUGGGUGACAGAGCAAGACUCUGUCUCAA
rnacentral:SRP_RNA from 2 species